UCAUUGCACAAUGCAUGUUCUGUAAUAAUUUGCGCCGCUCAGAUAGAAAAAUUGCUGUAGCUAGAGUUCAAAUGGGCUACACUGUCGUUCCAUAAAAUACACGUUUUCUUCCUGUCCGUUUCUGUUGACACACAAGCUUGCAAGUUAAGUUUAGACAUGUUUUUUUGCAGUAUUGUUUUGAUCUGAACUUUACCUUCUUUUGCUUUCUUUCUUCUUACUAAAGUUCCUCCAAGUUUUCCCAGGAACGAGUCAUUUAUUUUCUGGAAGAGGGAGAUUUCAGAGUCGUCGGCGAUUUGGGAGAGGACGGCGAAGAAGCCAUGAUCAAAUUUAGCCAAAGCUCAAAGAUGUAGUUCCCUCCCCUAACUUGGGCUUCGGAGUGGCGCAGCGGUCUAAGGCACUGCAGCUCAGCGCUAGAGGCGUCACUACAGACACCCUGGUUCGAAUCCAGGCUGUAUCACAACCGGCUGUGAUUGGGAGGCCCAUAGAGCGGCGCACAAUCGGCCCAACGUCGUCCGGGUUUGGCCGGUGUAGGCCGUCAUUGUAAAUACAAAUUUGUUCUUUAUGGACUUGCCUAGUUAAAUAAAAAAAUAAAACCAUAAUUGCUGAAUA